GUGAAUCAUCGAAUUUUUGAACGCAAAUUGCACUUUCUGGUAUCCCGGGAAGCAUGCCUGUUUGAGGGUCAGUUUUACUCAAAAACCGGUCUUGUUACAAAUUGUGACGUUUCCGCAGCUUGGGCUAUCUUAACAUUUUUGGUUAAGAGGUUUAAAAUUGACCUCUUUUGCGCAUUUUUAAACGUAUAUAACUCUUUUUUUAUUCGUCUAUUCUUAAUGCCAAAAUCUUAUUAGAUGCGAUCACAUCGUGUGGCUUCGUGUCCA
rnacentral:misc_RNA from 1 species